CUUUGGCAAGAGCAAAGUGACCUGAAAAAUAACCAAACCUCCACUGUGUCUGCCCAGAAGGGAAGCUCAACCUGAGGAAGAUGCCAGCCUUCCUCCCAAGACCCCAGCUCACACCACCAGGAGGUACACACAGUUUGGAGGAGAUAUCACCCCGUGUGUCCCAGCUGGAGAUAAAACAUACCUGCUUUACAAUUUUCUAAUGGUAAAGUCCUUAUUCCACGCUUCCCAGGCAGUAAAUCUCCAUCCUGAACACCUUCCCAGCAUCUCUGCCAAAGGCCUGGUGUCAUGUCCAGAGUGUGCCAUACAAUGUGCAGUCAGAAGGGCUGUAAGGCCCCAGAGUCACAACAUCACCCUCAGCAGAGGAAGAUGAUGUUUAUCAGAAAUCAGGGGAACUUGGAAUUAAGCUCAAAGUGCUUCAAAGGUGGGGCUCUUUUCCCUCUCUGGAGAGAAGAGAAGGAAAACUUCAGUGGAAAUGAUUGAGCUGUCUCAGUUCUUUCUCUGCUUUUGAUGUACUUUCAUCAGCUGAUUUGCUCCACAAUAAAAUGUCACA